UACGGGGGGGGCAAGCGUUGUUCGGAAUUACUGGGCGUAAAGGCUCGUAGGCGGCCAACUAAGUCAGACGUGAAAUCCCUCGGCUUAACCGGGGAACUGCGUCUGAUACUGGAUGGCUUGAGGUUGGGAGAGGGAUGCGGAAUUCCAGGUGUAGCGGUGAAAUGCGUAGAUAUCUGGAGGAACACCGGUGGCGAAGGCGGCAUCCUGGACCAAUUCUGACGCUGAGGAGCGAAAGCCAGGGAGCAAACGGG
rnacentral:rRNA from 1 species